rnacentral:rRNA from 1 species
AGUGAACGCUGGCGGUAGGCCUAACACAUGCAAGUCGAACGGCAGCACAGGAGAGCUUGCUCUCUGGGUGGCGAGUGGCGGACGGGUGAGGAAUACAUCGGAAUCUACUUUUUCGUGGGGGAUAACGUAGGGAAACUUACGCUAAUACCGCAUACGACCUACGGGUGAAAGCAGGGGAUCUUCGGACCUUGCGCGAUUGAAUGAGCCGAUGUCGGAUUAGCUAGUUGGCGGGGUAAAGGCCCACCAAGGCGACGAUCCGUAGCUGGUCUGAGAGGAUGAUCAGCCACACUGGAACUGAGACACGGUCCAGACUCCUACGGGAGGCAGCAGUGGGGAAUAUUGGACAAUGGGCGCAAGCCUGAUCCAGCCAUACCGCGUGGGUGAAGAAGGCCUUCGGGUUGUAAAGCCCUUUUGUUGGGAAAGAAAUCCAGC